AGAGUUUGAUCCUGGCUCAGGACGAACGCUGGCGGCGCGCCUAACACAUGCAAGUCGAACGAGCGAGAGAGAGCUUGCUUUCUCGAGCGAGUGGCGAACGGGUGAGUAACGCGUGAGGAACCUGCCUCAAAGAGGGGGACAACAGUUGGAAACGACUGCUAAUACCGCAUAAGCCCACGGCUCGGCAUCGAGCAGAGGGAAAAGGAGCAAUCCGCUUUGAGAUGGCCUCGCGUCCGAUUAGCUAGUUGGUGAGGUAACGGCCCACCAAGGCGACGAUCGGUAGCCGGACUGAGAGGUUGAACGGCCACAUUGGGACUGAGACACGGCCCAGACUCCUACGGGAGGCAGCAGUGGGGAAUAUUGCACAAUGGGGGAAACCCUGAUGCAGCGACGCCGCGUGGAGGAAGAAGGUCUUCGGAUUGUAAACUCCUGUUGUUGAGGAAGAUAAUGACGGUACUCAACAAGGAAGUGACGGCUAACUACGUGCCAGCAGCCGCGGUAAAACGUAGGUCACAAGCGUUGUCCGGAAUUACUGGGUGUAAAGGGAGCGCAGGCGGGAAGACAAGUUGGAAGUGAAAUCUAUGGGCUCAACCCAUAAACUGCUUUCAAAACUGUUUUUCUUGAGUAGUGCAGAGGUAGGCGGAAUUCCCGGUGUAGCGGUGGAAUGCGUAGAUAUCGGGAGGAACACCAGUGGCGAAGGCGGCCUACUGGGCACCAACUGACGCUGAGGCUCGAAAGUGUGGGUAGCAAACAGGAUUAGAUACCCUGGUAGUCCACACCGUAAACGAUGAUUACUAGGUGUUGGAGGAUUGACCCCUUCAGUGCCGCAGUUAACACAAUAAGUAAUCCACCUGGGGAGUACGACCGCAAGGUUGAAACUCAAAGGAAUUGACGGGGGCCCGCACAAGCAGUGGAGUAUGUGGUUUAAUUCGACGCAACGCGAAGAACCUUACCAAGUCUUGACAUCCCUUGACAGGCAUAGAAAUAUGUUUUCUCUUCGGAGCAAGGAGACAGGUGGUGCAUGGUUGUCGUCAGCUCGUGUCGUGAGAUGUUGGGUUAAGUCC
rnacentral:rRNA from 1 species